UGGGGAAUAUUGCACAAUGGGCGAAGGCCUGAUGCAGCAACGCCGCGUGAGGGACGACGGCCUUCGGGUUGUAAACCUCUUUUAGCAAGGAAGAAGCGAAAGUGACGGUACUUGCAGAAAAAGCGCCGGCUAACUACGUGCCAGCAGCCGCGGUAAUACGUAGGGCGCAAGCGUUAUCCGGAAUUAUUGGGCGUAAAGAGCUCGUAGGCGGUUUGUCGCGUCUGCUGUGAAAACCCGAGGCUCAACCUCGGGCCUGCAGUGGGUACGGGCAGACUAGAGUGCGGUAGGGGAGAUUGGAACUCCUGGUGUAGCGGUGGAAUGCGCAGAUAUCAGGAAGAACACCGAUGGCGAAGGCAGAUCUCUGGGCCGUAACUGACGCUGAGGAGCGAAAGGGUGGGGAGCAAACAGGCUUAGAUACCCUGGUAGUCCACCCGUAAACGUUGGAACUAGUUGUGGGGUCCAUUCCACGGAUUCCGUGACGCAGCUAACGCAUUAAGUUCCCCGCCUGGGGAGUACGGCCGCAAGGCUAAAACUUAAAGGAAUUGACGGGGUCAUAGCUGUUUCCU
rnacentral:rRNA from 1 species